rnacentral:rRNA from 1 species
CACCUGUUUAUCAAAAACAUGUCUUUUUGAAUUUUUUUUAAAGUCUAACCUGCCCACUGAAAUUUUUUAAAUGGCCGCAGUAUACUAACUGUGCAAAGGUAGCAUAAUCAUUAGUCUUUUAAUUGAAGGCUGGUAUGAAUGGUUGGACGAGAUAUUAACUGUUUCAUAAAAAUUUAUAAUAGAAUUUUAUUUUUUAGUCAAAAAGCUAAAAUAUAUUUAAAAGACGAGAAGACCCUAUAAAUCUUUAUAUCUAGAUUAUUAUAAUUUUAUAGAUUUUUUUUGUUAUAAUAAUUAAUGAUAUUUUAUUGGGGUGAUAUUAAAAUUUAAUAAACUUUUAAUUGUUAAAAUCAUUAAUUUAUGAAUAAUUGAUCCGUUAUUAGCGAUUAAAAAAAUAAGUUACUUUAGGGAUAACAGCGUAAUUUUUUUGGAGAGUUCAUAUCGAUAAAAAAGAUUGCGACCUCGAUGUUGGAUUAAGAUAUAAUUUUAGGUGUAGCCGCUUAAAUUUUAAGUCUGUUCGACUUUUAAAUUCUUACGUGAUCUGAGUUCAGACCGG